GUUGCUAUGGUAUCCGGGUUGGUUGCUAAGGUGUUGCUAGGUGGUUGCUAAGGUGUUGCUAUGGUAUCCAGGGUGGUUGCUAAGGUGUUGCUAGGUGGUUGCUAGGGUGUUGCUAGGCGGUUGCUAUGGUAUCCAGGGUGGUUGCUAAGGUGUUGCUUGGUGGUUGCUAAGGUGUUGCUAGGUGGUGGCUAUGGUGUUGCUAUGGUAUCCGGGGUGGUUGCUAAGGUGUUGCUAGGUGGUUGCUAAGGUGUUGCUAUGGUAUCCAGGGUGGUUGCUAAGGUGUUGCUAGGUGGUUGCUAGGUGGUUGCUAGGGUGUUGCUAGGUGGUUGCUAAGGUGUUGAUUUGGUAUCCAGGGUGGUUGCUAAGGUAUUGCUAGGUGGUUGCUAAGAUGUUGCUAUGGUAUCUGGGGUGGUUGCUAAGGUGUUGCUAGGUGUAUCUAACUGGUCGCUAGGCAGUUGCUACCAUUUCUAAAGUGGUUGCUAAGCAGUUGCUAGGCAGUUGCUAACGUUUUCCAGGUGGUUGCUAAGGUGUUGCUAUCUGGUUGCUAGGCAGUUGCUAACGUAUUACACAUGGUUGCUAAGUGGUUGCUAGGCAGUUGCUAAUGUUUUCCAGGUGGUUGCUAAGGUGUAUCUAACUGGUUCCUAGGCAGUAGUAGAUAAAAAGAAAGAGUGUUAAAUGUAGAAGUACAGAAAAAGGGAGAGCCUGAAAUAGAGAAGUAGAGAGAAAAUCAGCGUGAGAAGUAAAGAAAGAACACCCGAGAAUGUGAGAAAAAGAGUGACAAGUAGAGAGAAAUAUUGAGCGAGAGAAAGAGAAUUAGGGAAAAAGAGAGAUCGAGAAAUAAAGAAGUAGAGAAAGAAAGAGGAUGUAGUAGAGAGAUAGAUAGAAAGAGAAAGCAAGACAGAAAAGUAGAGUGAAAGAGAAGUAGAGAGAAGAGCGAGAAAUAAAGAGAGAGUAAGAGAGAAAUAGAGAAAUAGAAAAGUAGAAAGAAAGAGACAUAGAAAAGUAGAGAGAGUGAGAAAGAGAGAGUGAGAAAUAGAGAAGUAGAGAGAGAGUGAGAAAGAGAGAGUGAGAAAUAGAGAAGUAGAGAGAGUGAGAAAUAGAGACGUAGAGAGAGAGUGAGAAAGAGAGUGAGAAAUAGAGAAGUAGAGAGAGAAUGAGAAAUAGAGACGUAGAGAGAGAGUGAAAAAGAGAGUGAGAAAUAUAGAAGUAGAGAGAGUGAGAAAUAAAGAGAAAUAGAGACGUAGAGAGAGAGUGAAAAAGAGAGUGAGAAAUAUAGAAGUAGAGAGAGUGAGAAAUAUAGAAGUAGAGAGAGAGAGUGAGAAAUAGAGACGUAGAGAGAGAGUGAGAAAUAGAGACGUAGAGAGAGAGUGAGAAAGAGUGAGAAAUAGAGAAGUAGAGAGAGUGAGAAAUAGAGACGUAGAAAAGAGUGAGAAAGAGAGAGUGAGAAAUAGAGAAGAAGAGAGAGAGUGAGAAAUAGAGACG